CUCCGCUGGUUCUUUCCGGUUCGAGGCAGCCGUUCACCGAAUCGUCGACGGUGUGGUCCGGACCGGUUCGAACCGGUACGGCCGAGACGUUCCCGACGGCUCUCGCCUCGAUUAGCGCUCGGCAAUUAUUGAAUACCCGGCCGGCCGACGAUAAGGUUCGGCUCCUUUAUUCGAACUUCCUCUCCAAUCGAAACGCAAUUCCGCGACGCGGACCGCCGCUCCCAUGGAGAUCGAACACGUCCGACGGUUCGGCUUGACCUUGACCCGCGCCGGUUCGCGUACGCGGGGAAAAUGUCAUUAUUGUGUGACUGACAGUGAACACUCGUGAACGGAUACGGUGUUAAUGGGAAAAUUGGGACACUGGACGGACGGAGGUUUCUUGUGCGGACGGAGGCCGACAAUAUGGCCGCCGGGAGCGACUGUUGCCGAUCUCGAGCCCCCGAUACAAAGGAACGCGAGGAACGAGGAGUACAAGCGCACCGACGUCACUGGAAUAAUUAAAUGUGGACGUUCACACGGAUGCGAGAGCGAAUUGGCCGGUAAAGGAGUUUAAAAGGGCCAAUGCGCAGGGCCCGGGGGUUUCCUUCCCAGGAAUUAUGGUGCCUGGCCGCGUGGGCUGACCCCUCGGUGUGUUCUGCGGCCGUCUCUCGCGGAAGUCCGCCAUUAAAACAGCUGGAUCGAGCCAGAUCUCGCGAGACGAAUCUAGCCUCUUCACUGUCACGGGUCUGACCUCGGGUCUCGGCACCGGGCCAUCCCUCUUCCGAGUCCCCGGGAGCCUGUUCGGGGAUUCCACGUCCAAUAAAGGCACCCCUGACUCCUGCGGGACGUGUUUACAUCGGGAGAUCAUGCCUAUCCCGCAACGUUGCCCUAGAUAUACACGUCGCCUCUGUACAGGGACUCCACGAACUGCCUGUAAUCCGGGGACUCUAUGACGUGUUGCGGUCCAGCUACUUUUAACCCUUUGCACCCUAAAGGUGACUCUGUCGCCAUUCGAUUUGACAUAGGAAAAUUGUAAAGCUUUACAGACAAUAUUAACCCUUUGCACUCGAGAGCCUUGCAGUCGCCGUUCGAUUUGACCCAAGAAAAUAAAAUCAAUACAAAAUCAAUAGGAAAUAAUGAAAUCUCAAAUUCAAUAUUACAUUGUCUGUAACGUAUCAACACGUGGAACGUCGGAAUGAAAUAGUUCUGUCACGUAAUUUAUGCAAGGUAUUUCUUUAUGUUUUAGUGUUACUUUGUAAAAUCCAUUCGAGAGAACCGAGAUUUAAGUUGUAACGAAACAAAAAAUUGAAGAUUAAUAAAGAUUGAAGAAACAGAUGGAUCGAGUUCACUCGUCUGUUGCAUUUAUUCGAUCUCUGAUCGAUUCCUGUACGUCUUUCGUCUACUCGCCGAAGGAAUCGUUAGAAACAAUAAUAUCUUGAAUAUAGUGGCUUCCACUGAAUCGUAUUAUACUGAUAUUUCAAGGUAAAUUAUCUUUGAAUCAUUGUCACAGGCAUUCAAUCCCUCGCCUUGAGAUAUCAGUUGGUUUAACCCUUUGCGGACGAAUGUCGACGAAUGAUUUAAUUAUUCAAACAGUAAGAGAUCAGCAUAUAGCGUCUGUUUUUCCUAUUAUUUAGGCAACUGAUACAUCCUUCAGUUUCGUCUGCCGAAGAUCUCGUGUACUUCAACGAAUCUUCGACCGCAAAGGGUUAAUCCUGCUUACCAGAAUGUUCGACUCCCGAAAAUCACACGGCUAACAGAUCAAGAUACCACAACGACAUCCAGGAAUAUCCCGCGAUAAUUCUAGCAGUCUGAACGGAAGACAACGGGAUCGUAACAUGAAUUCCGGAAGGCGUGGCAGCGGCGGCAAAGCUACUGGCUUCCUCACUGCCGCCGAAACAGAAGCUGUGGACCAUUCUCAACGAACAGCGGAUGGAUUUUUACAUAUUACUCUCUAGAGGUUCUUCUAAUAAAAAUAUUUACUCGGCUAGAAAUUUCAGAUGUAACAUUUGAAAUUUGAAACUUACAGCGCAUAUAAAAAUCCAAAGGCUGAUGCAGUUGCGUCGAAUCAUCUGCUUAACCCUUUGCGUAUGUCGACGUUUUGUCGAGGUCAAACCUUAUUUGGAAUACAGAAUUGCGAACGAAUGAUUUAAUAACAAACAGCAAGGGAUCAGUACCUAGUUUCCUUUUUGUCUAUUAUCUAAGCAUUCAUACCUAAUUUCGCAGAAUCUGCAGGAGGUUUUGUAUAUUUUAACCCUUUGCACUCGGAAGCUUCUCGCAAGAAAUAUUCAACAUAGGUAAAUUAAAAAACAAAGCUAUUUUAUAUAAAUGUUUCAUAUAUUGAUGCAUUAUACGAAACAUAAUA